UUUCUCUAUGUAUGUUUAUGUUUUCUCUAUGCAUGUUUAUGUUUUCUCUAUGCAUGUUUAUGUUUUCUCUAUGCAUGUUUAUAUUUUCUCUAUGUAUGUUUAUGUUUUCUCUAUGCAUGUUUAUGUUUUCUCUAUGCAUGUUUAUGUUUUCUCUAUGCAUGUUUAGAUUUUCUCUAUGCAUGUUUGUUUUCUCUAUGCAUGUUUAUGUUUUCUCUAUGCAUGUUUAUGUUUUCUCUAUGCAUGUUUAUAUUUCUCUCUAUGUAUGUUUAUGUUUUCUCUAUGCAUGUUUAUGUUUUCUCUAUGCAUGUUUAUAUUUUCUCUAUGCAUGUUUAUGUUUUCUCUAUGCAUGUUUAUUUUCUCUAUGCAUGUUUAUAUUUUCUCGAUGCAUGUUUAUAUUUUCUCUAUGCAUGUUUAUGUUUUCUCUAUGCAUGUUUAUGUUUUCUCUAUGCAUGUU
ensembl:lncRNA